UAAAAAAAAAAACACAAAAAAAAAACUAAAGGAAUUUUGGAAAGUUUCAAAGGAUAAUUGUGAGAAAAUAUAAUAACAAAUAAAUAUAAAUUAAAAUAGUUAAAGUCUUGAAACAAAUUGUUUAAAAAUUAUUCAGUUGCCAUUGCAGUAUAAAUGUAAGUAUGUAAUGGGCGUAUGUAUGUGAGUAUGUAAAAUAUUGCCCGGAAUCCACAAAAGUCAUCUUUGAAAUUGGGAUAUCCUUUGGGAUUCGCCUCCCCCCACCCACCACCAACAAUUGAUAUCGGUAGAUUGAUGAUGCACACAGAUGACAAAAAAAAAGGGCAAAACUUUGACUACUAUAUCCAUCAUCUUCACAUACCAAUGACGAUGACGAGAAAGAUGUGGCAUUCUGGAGAAUGGUUUCUAGCCUAGGGGCACUUAAAAAUUCUCAACACAAAGAAGAUAAGCCUCCAUUGACAAGUAGCUAGUUGCGUGGCUAGUCCUAGAAAUGAAAACUCAUUCGUCAUACGCAACGCAAUGGAAAAGAAAAAAAAAGAAGAACACCCAAAGAGGAACAAGAAGGGGAACAUGUGUUGGCAUAACUCAGAGAGUUGGAGUUGGAGUCGGAGUGGCACGUACAUGAAGACCUGCCUUCAGUUGGUUGCAACUAUGGCAGCAUUUAUGAUGCUUUGAUAUAUCUGUAUAUACAUACAUACAUAUAUUAUAUAUAUAAAGUGAAAUGAUAUAUUGAAUUCGACGAAAUCUAUAAAAGGUCAUCAAGGUUUAUCAUAUUGUUAAAAAGUGACUCAAAUUUUCUGAUCUCUCAACUCUACCAAAAUUCUGUUAUAAGGAAAAUUAUUAUAAUUAUAAAACUUUUUGUAAAUUAUUUUGAUAAGGAAAUAAUGUAAUAAAUAUAAUAGGCAUGUGAUCAAUUA